rnacentral:rRNA from 1 species
UACGUAGGGUGCGAGCGUUGUCCGGAAUUACUGGGCGUAAAGGGCUCGUAGGCGGUCUGUUGCGUCGGGAGUGAAAACUCAGGGCUUAACCCUGAGCCUGCUUCCGAUACGGGCAGACUAGAGGUACGCAGGGGAGAACGGAAUUCCUGGUGUAGCGGUGAAAUGCGCAGAUAUCAGGAGGAACACCGGUGGCGAAGGCGGUUCUCUGGGAAUAUCCUGACGCUGAGGAGCGAAAGUGUGGGGAGCGAACAGG